rnacentral:rRNA from 1 species
UCAGAACGAACGCUGGCGGCAGGCCUAACACAUGCAAGUCGAGCGCUACCUUCGGGUGGAGCGGCGGACGGGUUAGUAACGCGUGGGAACGUACCCAGAUCUAAGGAAUAGCCACUGGAAACGGUGAGUAAUACCUUAUACGCCCUUCGGGGGAAAGAUUUAUCGGAUUUGGAUCGGCCCGCGUUAGAUUAGAUAGUUGGUGGGGUAAUGGCCUACCAAGUCUACGAUCUAUAGCUGGUUUUAGAGGAUGAUCAGCAACACUGGGACUGAGACACGGCCCAGACUCCUACGGGAGGCAGCAGUGGGGAAUCUUGGACAAUGGGCGCAAGCCUGAUCCAGCCAUGCCGCGUGAGUGAUGAAGGCCUUAGGGUCGUAAAGCUCUUUCGCCAGAGAUGAUAAUGACAGUAUCUGGUAAAGAAACCCCGGCUAACUCCGUGCCAGCAGCCGCGGUAAUACGGAGGGGGUUAGCGUUGUUCGGAAUUACUGGGCGUAAAGCGUACGUAGGCGGAUUAGUCAGUCAGAGGUGAAAUCCCAGGGCUCAACCCUGGAACUGCCUUUGAUACUGCUAGUCUUGAGUUCGAGAGAGGUGAGUGGAAUUCCAAGUGUAGAGGUGAAAUUCGUAGAUAUUUGGAGGAACACCAGUGGCGAAGGCGGCUCACUGGCUCGAUACUGACGCUGAGGUACGAAAGUGUGGGGAGCAAACAGGAUUAGAUACCCUGGUAGUCCACACCGUAAACGAUGAAUGCCAGUCGUCGGGCAGUAUACUGUUCGGUGACACACCUAACGGAUUAAGCAUCCGC